rnacentral:hammerhead_ribozyme from 1 species
AUCCAGCUGACGAGUUCCAAUUAGGACGAAACGGGUCUUCUGGAU